rnacentral:lncRNA from 1 species
UAUAGGAUUAUUGGUACAAAAUUAAUAACGAAUGAAGAAUUAAGUACAUAUAUUUUUAUUUUAUUUAAUUAAAUACUGAUAUGAUUUUAAUUUCAAUCUAAUUAUAAUUAUCAUAGAAUGAAUAUAUUGUGAUCCAACUUCAUCAAGCCUUCCCAUAGAGAGAACUAUGUAUUAAUUAAUAAUUAAGGUUCAAACUUAAUUAUUUUUUUUUCUUUACCGAUUUAAAUACAAAAUGUAUUUAAAGUGUGACUUUUACUUAAAGCGGAUUACUCAACCAAUGGAACAAAAAAGAAAAAGAAAAACCCAACUAAUUACAGAUAAUAGUAUUUGUUUUCAAAAUCCUAGUAUAUAUGAAAUAUAAAUGCUUGCACGAACUAUUAAUAAAUAAGUUUUUUUGCUUGAUAUACAAUUAAUUAACUCGUGCAUGGUUUUUUUUGGUUUUGCGUGCGUUAAAAUGCGUGCAGGACGAGUGGGUGGUGUGCCGGGUGUUCAUGAAGAGCUCCGGGGGGAAGAAGUACCCGUCGUCCAAUACCCACCACCCACGUGGCGGCGGGGCCCACCCCUACGCCCUGGACCACCUGGGCCCGCCCCUCCUCCCCUCCCUCGUCCCGGCCGACCCCUUCUCCCGCAGCGCCUACCUGGCGGCGGCGACCGCUGAGCUCGCCGAGCUCUCCCGCUUCACCCGCGGCGGCGCCGCCCACCACCCGGCCUUCGCCACCCACAUCCAGCCCCACCCCGCCGCGUUUGUGGGGGGCCCUGCAGCGCCGUCGGCGGUGCCGUUCGCCCUCUCCGGCCUCAACUUAAACCUCGGGGCCCCGCCGCCCCCCGCCCCGAUCCUACGCGGAAUGUCGAUGCAGCUCAAUCAGCCCAUGCAAGUUCUGGCUGAUCAGCAACAACAACAGCAGCAGCAGCAGCACGCGUCAGUGCUGACCAACUGUGCUGGCAUGGCGGGAGACGGAGGGUUCGGUACUGCAGACAUGAGCGCUGCAGGGACCGGAAUCAGAUACCACCAGAAUCUGGACUCCUGUGUGGAGCUAGAGGGAUACUGGCCCUCUUACUGACGCAGUAGGAAAUGGGUCAUAAAUUAGAACUAUGGUGUUCUAUAUCUGUGUAACAUUACGUAGCUGUAAUAUUUAGUUGGAGUUUUUUCUUUUCUCUUCUUUUCUUUUCUUUUUUCUCUCUGUUUUCUCUUGUUGGUGGGAAACUAAGAUGUAGAAGUUCAGUAGAGAUGAUAACUUCUUUGCCUAAUGGAGUGGGAACUGUAGUGCAGUGUAAGUUAUUGCCAAGUUUGAAGUUUUCUUAUUACAAUUGCCAAUUUGCCAUGUAAAGUGGACUUUGACUAUUAACGGCUAUUUCCAAGGAGAAAAAAAAAAAGAAUCUUAAGAAGAUAAAAGAAUGUUCAGUUUCGGAAGAUAAAAGAAUGUUCAGUUUCGGUGGUUGCACCAAACUCACGAAACAAUUAAUGUUCUUGAGCAAUGGAAGAUCUGGAGUUCAUAUUUUGCUCCGGCAUUGUGGAUCAAAAAAAGUGGCCAAUCCAUUGGACUUGAAAACAUCAACACGUGCACACACAACAAAAAAAUAAAAUAAGAAUGAAGAGGGUGAAAGAAUUAUGAUGUAUAACUCAUCAUCUGUGAUCCUCAUCAUUAAAUCUAAAAGAUAACAGUUUUGAGAUUUUAAAUCCAAUGGUUUUAGUUCCAAAAGUGCAAAAAAAAAUGAAUCUCAAUGGUCAGAGACCCAUUGCAAUUUUGGGUCCAAAAGCCUAAUGAAUGAUAACAAAACUAUUACAUAUGCCCAAAUAGGAAGGUAACCACAUUGAAAGUAAUAAAUAGUACUAUUACAACAAAUGAUAAAGGUACAAACCACAAACAAACUACGUCCUAAAUAGACAAAUUCACAAGGAAAAAGAAAAGUAAGGAGAGAAAUAAGAACUGCACAAAUUGCAGAGAAUAAAGACAAAAUGAAAACGUGUCUGUCGGUGUAUGAAUAUUGGGCCAAAGUUUUUUUCAACACAAAGGGUCACCCUAAUAAACCCAAAAGCUAUUCUCCUAAAACGAAGGAAUAUUAAAAGCUCCAUCUACCAAACAGCAUGCUGUGAAUACCCAGACACAUCUGCAUGUACCAAAAUAUUUAAUUCGUUAUUCAAGUUUGAACAAGGAAAAAAAAAAAGAAAAAAGAAGGAAAUAGCAUCACAGUGCAAAGUGACUAAAUUUAGUUUUUAGUUCACAGCAUUAGGAUAUACUGCAAACAAACUACAGAAAAAACACAAGAUUAGGGCUGGUACUCAAAGUUGGAUCGAACACCAAUUUGGUCCCUACACUUUGAAACCUUGCAAUUGCACAAUAGAAUUACUAAACCCAGCUUUUUCUUUGCGCAGUUCUCUUAGCCGAGAGGCGAGAAAAGUUAAAAGUAAAUAAUUAGCAGUGAAAAGCAAAGUGAAAAUUUUGCGCCUUUUUUAUCAGAGGAAAGGUUCAACAGCAAACAAAUGCGAAAAAGCAUCGCAUAAAUUGGACAAAUAUAUUAUAAGGCUAAAUUUGGAGCUUACGAUAAAGUGCCGAAACUUACAUGGAAUAUAACCGCUGCAUAAUCAACUUCAAAAUAUGUAGCUAUAUUCUACUUCUCAGCAUGCCUUCGCUUGUGUCUCCGAUGUACAUGAUUUUUAUUGGCAUUUUGUGUUGGUUUCCUUCCUUUCUUACUCCUACGUAAUGAAAAAUAAUGUCCCGAUCAACAAAUGAUAAUUGUUAAAGCAAAGUGACGGAAUAAAAUAGAAGACAAAUUCUUUACAUGUCAUGAAUCACACUGACCAGAAAAUAUCUGUUAGGAGUUUGUAAACAAUGAAAACAGGUGACGCCAGCAGUGCAGAAGCCUAUAAAGACGGAAAGGUUGAAUGACUAAUAAAGAGAAAAUAUUUAAAGAAAUUAUAGAAGUUGACAAUAUUAGAUAAGGUUUGUGAUGCAGCAUACCAUAAACCACACCAGCUCCUUCGUUGCUAGUGGUUUUGUUAUUUCAUGUUUCUCUAGAUGAUCCAGGAUAGUUCCUUGCACCUAGAACAAAAUCAGACAAGUUUGCUUUCAUUUUUUAUUAAUCUAUAAAACCAUUUAAAACUAGAACUGGUAAAAUAAAGAAUAGCAAACAUUUUCAGUCACAAGAUCACAUGAAAGACAUGACAUAACAGAUGGUCCUCAUUGAAGUGAUGUGUUCUACACUAAAUACCAAUUUGUCAAGUAGCCAUCUCGCACACAGGUCAGGAGAUAAAUUCUAUUUUAAAAGAAUAGAUCUGUUGUCCACAUUAUCAUGAUAGGCCUGCUUAAUUAUAGGUAAUAACUAAAAGCACUGAACCGUAAGUCAGAAGGCAGAAGAGGAUAACAAAUGCAAUAAAAAAAACCAUAGUGACCCACCGUGAAACAGAUGUGCAGAAUAAUGCUAGCUCAUGGGAACAAAUAAAGGAAAAAAAGUUUAAACAGGUCGUCGGGCUACACAAAUAGCCUAAUCCACAAAUUUAGGCAAGAACUGACAUAACUAUAGCUGGUUGAGAGUAAUUUGCAGCUUAAAAACUCCACAGUUUGAAAGAAAAUUCUUCAAAUCAGUACUCAUAAUAAAACCAAAACAUUCAAACAUUCUAUGGAACUUUUGGUGCCUCUUAAGGGCAAAGUUAAUAUGGUCCAGCCAGAACUUUCAGAGAAGUCUGUAUAGGCAGACUUACACCAAGCAAAUGAAACACUACAGCAUGAAGCAGAGCACCAAAUUUUAACAACAGUGAAAAAAGAGACUGCAGAAAGCAACAAAUACCUGUCGAUGAUAAAUAUUUGCUGAUUUGAGAAACUUUCCGUAUGCACGAACUACUUGCUCUGAAUAAGGUUUUGCAACAAUCCUCACUUUCUCGACAUGUGGUUUGGCAAACUUAGCAACUUGAUCAACAUAGGGUUUUGACAACUUUUUUGUUUCCUGUUGCCAAAAGAAUAUUACCAGAAGUAUAAAUUGCAUACAAGAGAAUAAAAAGUGAACUGGUUUUUCCACUUGCCAGGUAGCCUAGAUUGAAGUACCUGGAAAUAGGGAUCUGCAAAAUCUUGCACUUUGGCAACAUGAGGUGCAAUAGCAUUCUUGGAUACCUGGUAAAUCUCAACAGCUUUUGAGGAGGCAGUGUGCACGUAGGGUUCAGCUGUUGUUAUAAAGACAAGCCAUUGUUCUUUAACAACAGGGAUCCAUUUCUACAGGAAAUAAAUCAGAACAAAAAAUUAGUGGACUCUUAAUAGAUCAAGUUAAAACCAAAUUAUUAAACAUAUAAAAUAUGAACUUUACAAAUAUGGAAUAAUAUUUUCCUUUUACCUAAUUUAAUGUCCCCCUAUGGUCCCUACUAUAUUAAUUGAAUACCACAGUAAUAAUUAUCAGAAACUUACAGUCUUAGCAGUCUCCAAGUGGGGCUCAGCCCAUUUCUUCACCUGAAUUGAUUUCUCUGAUGCCUGUAAUAAUUUUAGAUAGAUAGAUGACCAUCCAAUGAUCCACGGUGAAUUCUUAGACAUGUUUUAUGAUGCCUUAAGUAAAAGGAAGCAGAAAUUUCUCAGAGAUGAAAUUGGAAACAGCGUGAAGGACCUUUUGCAAGAAAAUAUCAAGUGUAGGUUUUGCAUGCUCGUUCCAAUGGGUUGAAGCGAGCUCCUGAAGGACAAAAUUACAAAGGCAUUGAGAAGAAUUAUACAAGUACAUUUUACAUUACCAAAAAUGUGGGACAUGAUAUACCUGACAAUAGCUUAUAUAAGUUGCAAGCCAAGGUGGCAACCAUGCUCCGUGAGCCUGCUCAGAAACAUUUAAGAUAAUCAUUUUGCUGCAGAUCUGUUAGUAAUCAAACAUAAAAAACAAAAAAUAUAUAUAUUUGCAAACAAGAAAUGCUCACGGAAUUAGAGUCUUACCUCCCUCAACUCUUUUGACUUUGAUGUUGCCUCUAGCUGUACUCUCAUCAACUCCUCCUGAAACAAGUUCAGGGAAAAGAGAAACAAGAAUCUCACUGCCCUGUCAUGGAAUACUUUAGCCAUAAUUCCUGUAUAUAACACAAACCUCGGCUGCUUGAAGAGCUCGUUCAAUUAUCAGAGUCCUUCGUUUUUGUUCAUCACUAGAGCUUUGGAGCUACCAAGUGGCAAAAAAAAAAAAAAAAGAAAAAAAAAAAGAAGAUAACACAAACUCGAAAGAAUAGGCAUUAUUAAACAAAGGCAAAUACAUAAAGCAGUAUUUCUUGUCACAAGGCAGUGUGCCCAGAAAUCUUUCAUCUUGGGCAAAUUUCCUUAAUCUCGAGGUGGUUCUAUAAUAGUUAUUUGAAGGCCCUCUAUGGGAUGUGGAGUAAUUCAGAAAUUUAAGAGCAUUAGCAUUAUAUUCCUCAUGAAGUUACAUAAAAGUUGCAAUGAUGCAUGAAGUAGGUAUUGAGCCUAGAGUGGAAAACUAAUUCUGUACAUCAGUUUGCUCAUCUCAUCCUCCCAAGCUACAUAAUCCCUAUGAUAGUGUUUGGUUGGACAUUUCUUUGAAAUACUAUUAUGGAGGUAGUUCUAUAAUAUGAUAAGCAUUUUCAAAAGGCAACUACAACUCCUAAGUUACAACUAGACAGUGAGUUAGAGUAGCAGACAAUGUAUUUACUAAAGGAGAUUAAACCAUUAACAGAAACAUAACUUGAUCAUCGAAAUACUUUGUCCACACGUAUGAGAUCUAAUUUAAAAGAAGAAAGAAUUCUUUUUGAAAUUCAAUUAUGGAAAUUCGAUUUAGCCCAAACAUAAUUAAUCAAGAAUCUUACAAUCUGGAUAUUGAACCCCACCCGAUGCCUAAAUUUCCAUGAAUAAUACAAAAUAGGAUGAGUUGUCCCCAUACCAGAAAUAGAGUAAUUUUAAUUAUGUUUCUGGUUAAGCAAUCAUGUGUGAUGUAGCCAAAUGACAGAAAAAAAUGAGUUAUGUAAGUCAAACUUUAUUCUUUCUAUUCACCAAUUGUCUAUGAUGAACACAAUUGGAAGUUUGACAAUCAGUUGCAUCAAGAUAUUACUAAGAACUUUGGCAUCACGCCAAAACUUAUCUUUUCACAACACUAUCUGUACCCUUGAUGAUAUCGAAAUUGACAAAUCCAAGGUAUGGCCUCAUCAAUUGUUAGCAAAGUUGUAUUUGGAUUCUCUAACAUAGAAAUGUUGUUUCACAGGUCACAGAAAAUUUAAUCAUCAUUGACAUUACUCUAGCGUAUUGCUAACUACAUUGUAUGGUAGGAUUAGCCUCCUAGAUGUCAAAUUCUAUUUGUAAAUCAUAGGUCUUCUAUUGUGUAUAGUUCCAUUGAAUUCUGUCUAAUCUUGUGCGCUACAAAUCUCAUAUUAAAAUCCAGAAUCUCUUUACAUGUUUCAAGCAUCUUCGCUAUUUGAUCACUACAACCAAAUACUUACACUUUCCAGCUUCUUAGUCAACUCUCGCACUUUCUUCUCUGCUUCAUUUGCUCGAGCCUCCAAAGCAUUUCUCAAGCUAUUCUUUAAUUCAAACUCAUUUCUGAGUCUCUCAAUCUGCACAGAAAAAGAAAUAGGAAAAAAAAACUCAAAAUGAAACUACCAAUUCGGAAUUAAAUCAAACGUUAUGAGAUUCAAACCUGCUUCUCAAGCUCGCUAGCUCGAGCAUAGGCCUUCCCUGCUUUCUCCUCCGCAUCCAAAGUGCCCUUUUUCUGCAUGUCCAUAGAAAAAUUAGAAAAAUUCUAUCAAAUUCCAAACAAAAGGUCACUAGAAGAAAGUUAAAUUGCAGCUCACUACAAGCCUACUCGGAUUGUCUCUAUCUCAUCCUGCAGUGAGGCGAUUCUUUGUGACUUGUCCUCAAUCGUACUCUCCAAUUUCGCAAUGGUUUCAUCCUUGGUUUUCAACUCCCCAGUUCUCUCCGCAAUACUCUUCUCUUUAUUACAGUAAAACAGGAGAAGGAAACACAUUAAUACACAGAAAAGGUGCAAUACGUUACCACCCGCUAUCAAAAAGAAUCAAGAACUACAACAUCUGAUUAUCCGAAGACAAAACCUUAAGAACCAAGCACGAAUCUCAAAAGCAAAUCUUUCUGAUAUCGCCCCCAAAGAAUGCAAUAAUUGAACAGGAAUUAAGACGCAAGAACCCUCCGUCCUCAAAACGCUAGCCGAACCACAGAUCGAGACUCGAAACCCUAGCUCGAAACCCUACCAAAGAUCGGAUUCGCGACUCACCUAGCGCCGAGAUCUCCGCGCGGAGCCGCUCCAACUCGAGCUUCGUACUCAAAUCCGGCGCUCCUCCGAUCUCCACCUCCUCCUCCGCCCAAACCCCCACCAACGCGAUCGAGAUCGCGACCCACGCGACCAGGAGCUUCGGAAACCCCAUGGGAGUCGAGACAAAUCGAAAAAAUUAAUGGAUAAAACCAAAAAGGAAACCCUAGAUUUCUCAGAGAGAGAGACGGAUUAGAAAAGGAAUGACGCCGCCGAAUCGGGUCGUUAGAUAUUCGUUAAACCAACAUUGUGAUCCGUACUGCCACGUGGCACCUGGAGAUUCGAUCAGAUCCCAACGAUUUUGAGCGGUUUAAAACACGCCUCCUCUCUCGAUUCACCCUCCCUUCUUCUCCAGCCGCUUCUCCAGGUCCCUCUCUCUCUCUCUCUCUACCCUGAUCUUUUAAUCAAUUUAUUUUUUUUUCUAAUGCUUUUAUUAUUAUUCAUGCAUGUAGAAUGAUCGAUCUAUUUGAAAUAUUCAAAGAGCUUGUGAUUAAUGUUUUGUUUGAUUCUAAUUGCAUGGGAAAUUAUUUGAAAAGAAUUAUUUUAAAUUUUGUUGUGUAAAAGAUAUAGUGUCGAAAUUAAUUCUAAACUCUUUCCUUCUAUGAGGUCGUAGGUUCAACCUCUACUCUUUAAAUUUAACUGUAAUUAUAUUAUUAUAAGUUAAAUCUCCAUCUUAAAUCGUACGUAAUUAUAUAAGAUUUUUACUAGAUCGAUCUUGUGGAUGACCAAGAGUAAAUCCUUAUAGAAUUCAGGUCUAAUUUGGGUCAGCCCAACUCUAUUUUGUUCGUUCAUAUUUUGAAUCUUAAUUGCCUUUUAUGCCCAACUCUAAAAAAUGUGUGAAAAAAUAUCGGAUAGAAAUGAUAAAAAAUUAGUUGUUUUUUUGGCACUUGGAUUAAAGAAAAUUAUAUCAUUUUUUUUAGCACUUUAAAAUCAGUUAGCUCUUAUAUGUCGCAGUGGAUGAUUCCAUUAUUCAUAAUAAAAAAAAUUUUGUUCAAAGCAGAAUUAAGUUUUUGGAAUUGUUGUUAGUUCUAAUAGAAAUUAGUUUAAAAUUUCUUACGCAGCAAUUUGCUUCAAUUCUAUGAUGCAGAUGCGUAAAGAUACAUCAAUGAUGUUGCACAAAGGUGAGGAGCCAGGGGAGAAGAUGAAUCUAAUGGAUUAUGAGUAUUCCUCUUCAGAGGAUGAUGAUUACGUCCGGACAGACGGUACACGCAGAAGGACCCGUGAAGAAUGGAUUAGAUAUUAUAAACAAAUUGAGGAAAGCGAGGUAAUUUAAUACUUAUCGAGAGUCCGGUUGGAUUAUCGAUAGUAAAACGUUUGGUGCUAUCAAAUUUUUCGCCAUUAGUUUUAAUCCCUUGACUAUUUUUAUCUGUAAGAUUAUACCAUCAAACCAAUAACUCACUCAGCCCUAGAGGGUCCCCAUCAUCCUAAUCGUACAUUUUUUUCAUCCAAGGGUCGAAAACCUAAUAGCACCAAUAACUUUGUACUAUUGAUAGUAUUCCAGCCUAAAAUCGAAGAUUCGAAAUUUUUUUUUUCAUACUAAUUGUUAAUAUAUGUCUUAUAGGGAUUUGACGUUGAUCCGAUUCCGGGCACAUGUGAGCAUGGUCUUACAGGGUUAGAGAAUUUUGAUUCUGUAACCCUCGUCGAAAGUACGAAAGCGGCUAUUGAACAUUUUAACAUCGAGAAUGUACGUUUAUACUGCUUUAUCUAUUUUCUUUUUUGUUCUUUCUUUCUACUUUUUUUUGUUAAUUUGUUAGAAUUACUUUUUGGAAUUUUUUUUUUAAUGCAGAAUACGAGCUAUAAGUUUGUAAAGAUAGAGAGGGCAACUUGCUGCGUUGCCGCAGGAUUUGAGUAUCGUAUUACUUUUCAAGCAGUUGAUGGUGAAGCCGAACCCAAAACAUUCCAAGCUAUAACGUUUUAUUGGAUAGAUUGUAGUAUUACUGUUGACUUUUGCAGGCUUAAGUCCAGUGCAAGUUCAUAAAAUGUGUAUUUCUAGUUAUUUGUUUUUUAUACUUUCGAGUCAUAAACUCAUAAUUAUGUGCAUGUAAUACUUAAUUAACUGAGACAUUUCUUAUUUAAUUGGACACUCUUUUAUAGUUUAGACUUGCACUUGAAAACUAUCUCAUGAAAUGAGAAUGACCUUUCGUAUGGUACAAGUAAGUUAUACUAUUUGGCUUGUAGUGGUGUUUCUAAAGCUUGAUUUAUAUCUUAUCAUUAAUGGUGCUAAAUUUUGUUUUAUGAAAAAAUUUAGCCACCACAGCAAUCGUAUAUUCAUUCAAAUUGGUAACUUUUUGGACUACUAAAUUGGGAAUUCGGGCUAGGUCUCUAUAUCUUUUACCGCCUUUCAUGAGAUUCUUGAGGAAAUGCUAAGCAUCAAUUAUUGUAUGCUAGUUUCUAAUACAUAUCAUGUAUGAUAAUAAUUAAUAUUAAUAAAAAGUAAUAAGCAAUACUUUUGUUUAAAUAUUCUGUCUAUUGAAAUCAUUUAUAAGUCAAUAUAAUAUCCACACUGUUAUUUGUAUCAAUGUGGACAAAUUUAUCUUCUUUAUAGUAUUUGUGGGUGGUGUUUUAUAUGAGAAAUUAAAAGUUUGUAGUGUAAAGAGUUUCUUUGAAGUUUAAUUUUAGUUCACUGUAAUUAAAUAUUUUAAUUGUUAAUUCAAAUUUGAUAUUUAAAAUUUAUAAAUUUAAAUUUUUUAAAAUUUAAUUUUGAUCUACUGUAAUUGAAAUUUUUUAAUUGUUAUUACAAAUUUGAUAUCCAAAAUUAAAUUCAAUUCAUGAUUUAAACUCAAAUUUUUAAUUUUAAUAAAAUCUAUAGAUAGGAAUAACAGAUUGAUCACAACAGAUAAUUUUUAUUUGAAAUAUAUUUUAACAAAUUAAUCAUAACCAUUCAUAGGAUUUGACAUAUUGAUGAAUAAGAAUGCUAUUUUUAACAGACUGAUCACAACCAUUCAUUUUUAUUUGACAUAUUUUUCAACAAACUGAUUACGUAAGGAAUAUUCGUUUAUUCCUUUUUGGAUUCCGUCUGUUGGAAUUUCUAUACGUUUUUAUAUAUAGAACUAGUUGAGUGUACGUGCAAAUACAUGUAACAGUUAUUUUAAUUUAUUUUAAAUCAAUAUAAAUUUGCACAUUAUAUUUAUUUAAAAAUUUAUAAUUUAUAAAUUCAUAUGUUAUAUUUUAUUAGAAAAUAUUUGUAAUAUUUUAUAUUUUUCUUUCUUUAUAUACAUUAAAUAUUUUUAUAUAUUUUUUAUUUUCUGAUGAUCUAAAAUUUAAACAUAUGUUGUAAACAAAAAGCAUCAAAAUUUAAUUCAUAUUUAUUUCAAAAUUUAAAAUUUAAUUUUGAUUCAUUAUAAUUAAAUUUUUUGGAUAAAAAUGCUAUUUUUUAAUAGAUUAAUCAUAACCGUUCGUUUUUAUUUGAGAUUUUUUUAAUUAAGUGAACUGCUCAAUUUUAACUGACACAACCGUUCGUAAGAUUGAAUUUAUAGAUUGAUAAGAAUGCUAUUUUUAACAAAUUAAUUAUAACCGUCUGUUUUUAUUUAAUAUUUUUUAAUUAAGUGAUCAUACCAUUCAUAGAAAAUAUACGGAAUAUUUUUUUAUUCUUUUUUGGAUUCCUUUACAGAUGAAUAAGAAUGCUAUUUUUUAAUAAAUUAAUCAUAACCGUUCGUUCUUAUUUAAAAUUUUUUGUAGGAAAUAUAGAAAAAUAUUCUUUUAUUUUUUUUGGAUUCCGUCUAUCAUGGUAGGAAUUCUUAUACAUUUUUAUAUACGCUUUUAUAGAUGGUAUAUAGAUUUUGGAUUCCGUUUGUCGGAAUUCUUAUACGAUUUUACAUAUAGUAUAGAUAUGGAUAGAUAUCUAUAUCCAUAUCUAUAUCUAUAUCUAUAUCUAUUUAUAUCUAUAUCUAUACUAUAUAUAAAAACGUAUAGAAAUUCCGACAAUAACAGACGGAAUUGCAAAAGAAAUAAAGUAAUAUUUCCUAUGGAUGGUUAUGAUUAAUUUGUUAAAAAUAUCUCAAAUAAAAACGAACGGUUAUGAUAAAUCUAUUAAAACUCUACUAUAUAUAUAAAUUAUUCCCAACAAAUAAAAACGAACGGUUAUGAUAAAUCUAUUAAAAGUUCAAAUUCUUUCCUCUGUAGUCUCAAUUGAGAGGAGGAAUAAUUGAACUAUCAUCAAAGAGCACGCUUCACUAGAGAACAAAAAAUUAGCCAAAAUACUAAUAUCAAAACAGAGAAAUUAAAGAAUACUAUGAUAAUAGAAUCUGAAAAAUGCGAAUGGAAAACUGUUCACCAAACAAGAGCUUAAAACAAAAAAAAGCUCAAAACCAGUCAGUAGGCCUAACAAACCUAAUCAAACAUUAUAAGAAAAAAGAUAUCUUUUUUACUUCAGAAACCACAAGAUCUAUAGCCAACCAACUCCACAAAAACCAAUGUUUAAAUCAAACAAAAAGCACCACCAGAUCCAAAAGACCCUCUUGGAUCUCUCCACCUUCAGAGAUGGUGCUCUGGAUCUGGGCACACUUGACGACACAUUUCAUCGAUAAAAGUCCACUAAAUUGUACAACAAAUUCUUGGCAACAAUAUUACUUAAUAAUAAUGAGACAGAAUUACCUUGGUAUCUAUACUAACUGGAUGUUGCACAAUAUAAAACUUCUUAUUUUCUUAACUGCAUUGAAAUGCUUUUUGUGAAUUAUAAACCAAAAAGUUAAACUUUUCAAAUACUAGAAAAGUCAACUGAAUCAAAUGUAACCCACCCAGUAGAAAUCAACAAAUACAUUCUUAAACAAUUCAGAACCACACAAGAAUGGUAGCAAGUGAGACCCUGCAUAGAUUGGCCCUAAAUUUCAAAUCAUUACUAAGAGGAACAUAUCAGAGUUAAGCCAGUAACAUGAGCUUGUAUCCACAUGCUUUAUUUUCUUAGCAAAGAUAACCCCAAUGCCAACUAAGAUCAACCAAUGCAGCUAAAACAGAAAGUGCAAAAGAAUUUUAACAGCACCUCUGCUCAAAUCCAAAACAAGCUGCUCUCUUGGGCCCCAAUCUGACUUCUUUACUAAAGACUAAACUGUCAAAAACAGAUGAAACAUACAUCUCCAAAAAAGAAACUAAAGAAAACUAUAGCGAUAAUAGAAACUAUUUAGGAAUUACUUACUAAAGAAAUUUUAUAGAUCGAUGAGUAAGAGUUACGCAAGCACUGGCAGUUUACAAAAUUAAAUAAUAUCUAUUUCUCGCAACUAUAAAGGAUAGCAAAUUGGUUGAACAACUAAAAUCAGCACAUCACUGUAUUUCAACUGUCUUCAAGACAACUACCAAUCAGAAAUCCAUAUAAGCGGUAUAAGUAUAUAAAAGUGGCAACAUAUUUACCCAAGCCUUUUUACACUAUAAAUAAUAAGAAAUCUACCUUUUACGAACUAGCAGUGGACUUAAGCCUGCAGAAGUCAACAAUGAUACUAUCAUCUAUCCCAAGAAAUGUUAUAGCUUGGAACAUUUUGGGUUCGGCUUCACCAUCUGCUGCUCGAAAAGUAAGACGAUACUCCAAUCCCGAUGCAAUAAUGCAAGUUAUCUUCUCUAACUUCAAAAACUCAUAGCUCGUAUUCUGCAUUAAAAAAGAAAUUCCGAAAGAAAUUAUAACAAAAAAGAGAAAAAAGAUAAAAAGAAAGAAUAAAAAGGAAAAUAGAUAAGGCACUAUAAAUAUACAUUCUCACUGUUAAAACGUUCAAUAGCUGCUUUUGCACAUUUGAUGAUGGGCUCGGAAUCAUAACCGUCUACCCCUCUAAGACCAAGCUCCAAAUCGCUCGUAAACGGAUCAACGUCAAAUCCCUAUAAAACAUACUUACAAUUAGUAUGGAAAAAGAUUUCAAACCUUAAUUCUCAAAAGGAUGUUGAUAAAUAUUAAAUUACCUCGCUUUCCUCAAUUUGUUUAUAAUAUCUAGCCCAUUCUUCGCGGGUCCUUCUGCGCUCACCAUUUGGCCAGACGUAAUCGUCAUCCUCUCCCGACGAAUACUCAUAAUCCACAAUAUUCUUUUUCUUCUUAUUCUUUUCCUCUAAUUCUUCAUAUUUUCCACACCGAUUCUUUUCCCCUACUUCACAUUUUCCACGCCUACAGGUCUCCUCCUCCUCUUUCUUCUCCUCAUGCAGUUUCAUCAUUUUUUGCGGUGAUUCUUCAAGUAUCACCUGCUCAGCAUUUUUCCUACAUAAAGGAAUUAAACAUAUUAAUAUAUAUUAAUCUUUUUGUAUUUUACACAUUUUACUAAAGACUGUUUGUGCAAAAAGUAAAAGUAGAAGCACAAGCGAGACUAAAGAGUUCCUUAUGCUUGAUACUUGAUAAACGUGUGGUAACGGUGCUACAUAAAGACCUUCUACAGGAAUUAACCAGCACAUCUAACACAACUAGGCUGCAGUUUUUCUAAGCUCCAUUGAAAACAUAUAAUAAAUCCAGAUUGUUGUUGUUGUUGUGUGUGUGUGUGUCAUUUGACAUAACAUGACACAACUAGGCUGGAUAUGUUAUGCAGGUUUUUGUAUUGUGUAUAUGUGCUGUAAAGUAUAAUCUACUUUGUAUAACUGAAACAACACUUUUAUUGUAAAAUGACUAAACAAAUAACAUGUGACCUGUUCACGCUGUUCCUAUCUGCCUUUAUUUACUAACAACUAUCCAGGGCAUUAUGAUGAAAUUUAUGAUUAAAAUCUGAAUUCUCCAAUUCUUCACAAUCUCUUUUUUGCACAAUUUUGAUUGGCUUCACAAAAAUUGGCAGAGACAUUAGUGCACUCUAUCCUCGAGCCGUGUGAAGAUGCUGAUUUCACAUUUCCAGUGAAUUUUAACCUCGGAGAGCAUACUAUGUAGACUUGUUGUCAUCCUUACCUCGAGGAUUUCUUAGAGUGGGUCACUAACCUAUUCGAGACAAUUAUUUUCACAGCUAGUCAGAGCAUCAAUGAAGAGCAGCUUCUUAACAUUCUUGAUCCGGAAAGAAAAUUAUUCUGCCACCAUGUCCUACAUCUCUUGGAGGGCAACUACUUCAAGGACCUAUCAAUUCUUGGUUGUGACUGACUCGUGUUACAGCGUUGUUGAUAAUUCCUCUCAGGUUUUCAUUUUUUUUACAUCGCCUAGCCUAAUUUUGCAAGACUCUUUUUUUGCAGCCCUGUUUUUCAUUCAUUCUUUUUUAAAUUUUUGGGUUGGCUUUUACUUCACUUGCUUCUACAAUAAUGCUGCUCUAAGUUUUUCUUUUUCUAUUCUUCUUUAGGGGUGUUUGAGGCCGUUUUACCUCGCUUCAGUUAAUUUAGAGGGAAGAGCAGAAUAAUUUGCUAUAUGUUGCCAAUUCCAGAUUAAAAACUGUAACCAAACACAGUAGCUGCUCAAAGUUUAGCGUAAUUUCAGAUAUGAUUUCUAUGCUGACUUACAUAGAGGUGUGGAAUUACCACACCAAGUAAUCUUGUGGACUAGUAGCUAUACAAGAGUAAGGCUAAUCGAUGCAUAAAUAUUCACUACUUGAUGCAUUAAACACAGUUGUAACAUUCUACUUAUCUCUUAAUGCAAAAUGUAGUAAUUAAGAUUUUCUUUACUUGAUUUCAAUUAACGUUCUGCUUAGCUCUUAAUGCACUAAACUUGCUCGUAAUCUUACUGUUGAAACAAUAGUUGAUCCACUUGCUUACUAUUGCAUUUUUGUUUUGUAGGUCCUUCUAGGUUGAGGAAAUACUCGAGUGCCCAGAUUGAAAUUUUAGGCUUUUGGAAGUUAACUGGGAUUUUUUUUUUUUUUGGGGUUAAACUAUAGGAAUUUAGUGCCAUCUAGAACAGAUUUAUUAAACUAAUAUUUUGUAAUAGAAUUUUUGAUUAUUAAGGUUGUAUAUGAAAGCGAAGCAGUAUUUGUCAUAAAAAUUUUAUAAACAAGCUUUGAUGAUAAACGCAUUUUCUAUAUUAAAUUUUAUUAUUCAUUAGCUAUGGAUGAGGCAUUUUGACUAUUGUCAAAAUAGUAGCAAUAAUUAAUACUUUAUUAUCCUUUGAUUUAUAUGUUUUGACAAUUGUAAAUUUGUAAUUAUCUACAAUAUAUCUGCCUUACCAAACACUAGUAGAUGCAGCUAGACCCAGAUAUAGUGGCAUUGUAACAAAUGGCGAUUAUAAUCGAUAGCAACGCAGAGAAUAAUCGCCGCUAAAGAUUAAUUUGCUCGCAGCGAAAAAUAUAUAUAGUCCUACUCUAAAAGUCUAAAUUAGAUUCUGAGAUUUUACAUGAUUUUACUUUAAAUACAUAUUUAUUAUUUCAUUAAGAAACAGAUUCAAAAAACAAAUUAAUCUCUAAAACACAAUAUUAACAGUACCAGUAAUAACAUUAAAAAAAAAAAAAAAUCAACAGGUUUGGUUUCCGGUUGUGCUCUGUUUAACAUCGAUCCUAAUCAUACAUAUUGCAACUGAAACAAAUUUGUAUACGUAUAGAAUAUAGCAAAUAUAAACGUGUAUACCUUCUCCAGCUGAAGACGGUCCUCAGGACCAUAGUUAGUUAAUUCGGAUUCGGCAAAAAUUCGGUAUGGGUAUAAUUCGGAUAAAAUUCGUCUUCUAAUUUUUAAAUUCGUUGAAAAAAAACGGCUAGAAAACGGAUUCGCCAAUUAUUCGGAUACGUGAUUUAUACGGAUAUUAUUCGUUCACCAAUUAAAAAUUCGGGAUCAAAAAUUCGGCUAUUAAAUUAAAUUUUUUUCCUCUCAAGAUUUAUGCUAUUAGCAUAAAUACUCAUAUUUUUUAAGAAUAUAAGAAUAAAAAGCUACAAAAUUAAACUAAUUAAGUAAAAAA